rnacentral:piRNA from 1 species
UAGCAGCUAUAGGGAUCACAAGGA